GAGAAAUAUGCUUUCUUUAUUAUUCUGAACGCACACACAAUAAACUUUAAAAAUCUCUCUCAAACAUAAAAAUGUGGACUAAUUUUUCCAAGUACUGAUUUACAUCCAAUAUGGACCUAAAAGAAAAA